rnacentral:lncRNA from 1 species
UAAAUUCAUCCAAUUUCCUUCAUAUUCACUAAAAGUUCAACAUAUGCACAUGCAAGUGAAUUCACAUACAUCUAUGCUUUAACCACCCUAACUAACUUAAACUUCAACAAACUAACUUCUAACUACUUUGGGCAAUUUCCCAAAUUGUCCAAAACAGUUCUAAAUAAUUUCUAACCAAUUAUCAACCUCUAAUCAUCCCUCACCUAGUUCUAUAUAAGCAUUCAUCAUUCACUCACUAAGGGGCUUUUUCUUUAUUUUUUGAUACUACUCAUUCUUCACUUUCUCUCAAGGUUUCACUCUCCAUUCUUCAUUCUUCAACCUUCCCUUACUAGAGCUCAAAUCCAUGGUUGUUGAAGCUUCACAUUGAAACUUCAAUCAACUUGAGCAUAAACCCUCACCAUACUUCAUCUCAUAGUUUUUCAUGAUUCAAGCACCAAAAAAUCAACAACAACAAGAAAGCAAAUGAAAGAAAAGAAAGGGGAUGAAGAAGAAAUAAAUACAAAUUGAAGAAUUGCUUACCAUAUUGAAUUGACGGCGCCACUGAAGAACCAUCAAAGGAUCUCCGAUCGAUAAGCCUCAAACUUUUUUUAUCACUCCAUGAAUGCUUGCUCUUUUGUGCCUUCUAUACUUGGUUGCUUGUUUGAGUUAUCUUUGUAUGCUUGUUUAUGUAUUUUCCUUUCUUUUCAUCUUGUGUGGACGACUACCGUGAGAAUCCAAGCCUUGCCAUGAACACAAACUAUAGAAAAUUUCAGCAUCUUGGCAAUACCAAAACUUGACCUCCAUCGUCACCAAAUUCAACUUUCAUCAAAUUCACCAUAAACCAAAAGGAACCGCCAAAAAAUCAUUACUAAACCAUAUUCC